GGUUAAGCGACUAAGCGUACACGGUGGAUGCCCUGGCAGUCAGAGGCGAUGAAGGACGUGCUAAUCUGCGAUAAGCGUCGGUAAGGUGAUAUGAACCGUUAUAACCGGCGAUUUCCGAAUGGGGAAACCCAGUGUGAUUCGUCACACUAUCAUUAACUGAAUCCAUAGGUUAAUGAGGCGAACCGGGGGAACUGAAACAUCUAAGUACCCCGAGGAAAAGAAAUCAACCGAGAUUCCCCCAGUAGCGGCGAGCGAACGGGGAGCAGCCCAGAGCCUGAAUCAGUGUGUGUGUUAGUGGAAGCGUCUGGAAAGGCGCGCGAUACAGGGUGACAGCCCCGUACACAAAAAUGCACAUGCUGUGAGCUUGAUGAGUAGGGCGGGACACGUGGUAUCCUGUCUGAAUAUGGGGGGGACCAUCCUCCAAGGCUAAAUACUCCUGACUGACCGAUAGUGAACCAGUACCGUGAGGGAAAGGCGAAAAGAACCCCGGCGAGGGGAGUGAAAAAGAACCUGAAACCGUGUACGUACAAGCAGUGGGAGCACGCUUCGGCGUGUGACUGCGUACCUUUUGUAUAAUGGGUCAGCGACUUAUAUUCUGUAGCAAGGUUAACCGAAUAGGGGAGCCGAAGGGAAACCGAGUCUUAACUGGGCGUUAAGUUGCAGGGUAUAGACCCGAAACCCGGUGAUCUAGCCAUGGGCAGGUUGAAGGUUGGGUAACACUAACUGGAGGACCGAACCGACUAAUGUUGAAAAAUUAGCGGAUGACUUGUGGCUGGGGGUGAAAGGCCAAUCAAACCGGGAGAUAGCUGGUUCUCCCCGAAAGCUAUUUAGGUAGCGCCUCGUGAAUUCAUCUCCGGGGGUAGAGCACUGUUUCGGCAAGGGGGUCAUCCCGACUUACCAACCCGAUGCAAACUGCGAAUACCGGAGAAUGUUAUCACGGGAGACACACGGCGGGUGCUAACGUCCGUCGUGAAGAGGGAAACAACCCAGACCGCCAGCUAAGGUCCCAAAGUCAUGGUUAAGUGGGAAACGAUGUGGGAAGGCCCAGACAGCCAGGAUGUUGGCUUAGAAGCAGCCAUCAUUUAAAGAAAGCGUAAUAGCUCACUGGUCGAGUCGGCCUGCGCGGAAGAUGUAACGGGGCUAAACCAUGCACCGAAGCUGCGGCAGCGACACUAUGUGUUGUUGGGUAGGGGAGCGUUCUGUAAGCCUGUGAAGGUGUACUGUGAGGUAUGCUGGAGGUAUCAGAAGUGCGAAUGCUGACAUAAGUAACGAUAAAGCGGGUGAAAAGCCCGCUCGCCGGAAGACCAAGGGUUCCUGUCCAACGUUAAUCGGGGCAGGGUGAGUCGACCCCUAAGGCGAGGCCGAAAGGCGUAGUCGAUGGGAAACAGGUUAAUAUUCCUGUACUUGGUGUUACUGCGAAGGGGGGACGGAGAAGGCUAUGUUGGCCGGGCGACGGUUGUCCCGGUUUAAGCGUGUAGGCUGGUUUUCCAGGCAAAUCCGGAAAAUCAAGGCUGAGGCGUGAUGACGAGGCACUACGGUGCUGAAGCAACAAAUGCCCUGCUUCCAGGAAAAGCCUCUAAGCAUCAGGUAACAUCAAAUCGUACCCCAAACCGACACAGGUGGUCAGGUAGAGAAUACCAAGGCGCUUGAGAGAACUCGGGUGAAGGAACUAGGCAAAAUGGUGCCGUAACUUCGGGAGAAGGCACGCUGAUAUGUAGGUGAAGUCCCUCGCGGAUGGAGCUGAAAUCAGUCGAAGAUACCAGCUGGCUGCAACUGUUUAUUAAAAACACAGCACUGUGCAAACACGAAAGUGGACGUAUACGGUGUGACGCCUGCCCGGUGCCGGAAGGUUAAUUGAUGGGGUUAGCGGUAACGCGAAGCUCUUGAUCGAAGCCCCGGUAAACGGCGGCCGUAACUAUAACGGUCCUAAGGUAGCGAAAUUCCUUGUCGGGUAAGUUCCGACCUGCACGAAUGGCGUAAUGAUGGCCAGGCUGUCUCCACCCGAGACUCAGUGAAAUUGAACUCGCUGUGAAGAUGCAGUGUACCCGCGGCAAGACGGAAAGACCCCGUGAACCUUUACUAUAGCUUGACACUGAACAUUGAGCCUUGAUGUGUAGGAUAGGUGGGAGGCUUUGAAGUGUGGACGCCAGUCUGCAUGGAGCCGACCUUGAAAUACCACCCUUUAAUGUUUGAUGUUCUAACGUUGACCCGUGAUCCGGGUUGCGGACAGUGUCUGGUGGGUAGUUUGACUGGGGCGGUCUCCUCCUAAAGAGUAACGGAGGAGCACGAAGGUUGGCUAAUCCUGGUCGGACAUCAGGAGGUUAGUGCAAUGGCAUAAGCCAGCUUGACUGCGAGCGUGACGGCGCGAGCAGGUGCGAAAGCAGGUCAUAGUGAUCCGGUGGUUCUGAAUGGAAGGGCCAUCGCUCAACGGAUAAAAGGUACUCCGGGGAUAACAGGCUGAUACCGCCCAAGAGUUCAUAUCGACGGCGGUGUUUGGCACCUCGAUGUCGGCUCAUCACAUCCUGGGGCUGAAGUAGGUCCCAAGGGUAUGGCUGUUCGCCAUUUAAAGUGGUACGCGAGCUGGGUUUAGAACGUCGUGAGACAGUUCGGUCCCUAUCUGCCGUGGGCGCUGGAGAACUGAGGGGGGCUGCUCCUAGUACGAGAGGACCGGAGUGGACGCAUCACUGGUGUUCGGGUUGUCAUGCCAAUGGCACUGCCCGGUAGCUAAAUGCGGAAGAGAUAAGUGCUGAAAGCAUCUAAGCACGAAACUUGCCCCGAGAUGAGUUCUCCCUGACUCCUUGAGAGUCCUGAAGGAACGUUGAAGACGACGACGUUGAUAGGCCGGGUGUGUAAGCGCAGCGAUGCGUUGAGCUAACCGGUACUAAUGAACCGUGAGGCUUAACCUU
rnacentral:rRNA from 1 species